GAUCUUUGGAUCGGAUCGAUCAUCUCCUGUCGCUUGCCCCUUCCCUGUCGCGAUGGAGAGCGAUGCCGCGCCACAGCCGAGCACUGCCAACGCCGGGCGCCACCACCCUGCUGGCUGCCGCCGAGCGCUGCCACCCCACCUGCCGCCGAGCAGCCCACCAUCCAUCUGCAAUCGUGCAUCUGAUCUUCCAAUUGAUGCUUCUAUAUGAAAUGACUGACGGUGAGGACAUCCAGCGUCUUGCGUCUUGUAUGUGAUAAUGGCACUGGAGUGGUCAAGGUCAGAUUUUCUUUUUUUACUCUUAAGCCUUAACUAGUGGAGUAACUGCUAUGUAUGCCCCAUCUCCUGCAAAAAAAAUUUUCUGAAUAUGCCGCCCUUUUGCAUAUUUGAUCAUGUAGGCUAGUUUCAUUGGGGAUGAUUUGUUGUUGGGUAUUUUUAUCAGAGCUAUGUAGAUUGAGUAUGACAAUUGGGUAUUUUUAUCAGAGCUAUGUAGAUUACUUAUUUGUGUCUUUUUCUCCAAUCUGCUUCACCAAGAAUGGAGUUAGGGAGGUAGAGCCAGAGGCAAGGAGUAGGAGGGAAAGGGGAUGGUGCCUCUUCUUGGCUGCUUCAGUUCUUUUUUCCUCUCGGCCACAAGCAAAUCAGCCAAGACUCUGUUUUAGAUGGCGCCGAAGGCCACGGUGAGGCAGGGUUCGACAGAGGGAUAGCCGUGACACUGUAGAUGAGGGCACCAGAGGCUGCCAUUACGCCGUCGAGGAGGUGGGGGAUGCUUCCAUGGUUUUUCUCGCACCGGUGGGCGAGGCAGCCGUGAUAUCUCUCCUGGAUCUCAGUAAGCAAGCAAGCACGUUCCCAGGGCUAUCGAGGAGGCAGUCACAAUGACCCUGAUGGUCUUCAGCGAGGCAUAUAUGAAUUCCUUUGUCGCAGGUGGCGAUGCAGUCCCGACGCUAAUCAUGUUGAUGGGCGAGGUGGUCAAGGCCUCUCUCCUUUACGAGGUGGGCUAAUCGUGUCAGUUUUUUUUCUACAUCUUUGUGGUAGAAACUAAGAAAUCAUAUUAUUUAGGUCAAAGAAAUAUAAUCUUGUAAUCUGAACAUCUAAAGAUAUGUAAUCUGCAUAUGAAGAUUACAACACUGAAGCAAAUUACUACUGACGAGUCAUAUGUUUUGUCAGUUGCUAACAUUUGUAUUUUAUCAGCAAUAAGACUGCAUCACCUCAUAAUUUUAGUGAAUAUUACUUAUUUUUGUUAGUUUUGUCUGAAAAAGUUAUGUCAUGUCAGCUUUGUGAAUACUACUUAUUUUUGUCAUGUUACUUUUGUCUGAAAAAGUAUUGUUUCUUUUUGUAUUUUUGAUUUUGUGUUUGUUUUUAUCCAAAAAAUUUACUUUGUCAGAAAUGAGCAUAGUUUCAGAAAUGGAGUGUUUUUUUUUUUUUGUCUUUGUUAGAUUUUUAUAAUUUUGGUAAUAUUAAUCAGUUUAUCGCUUAUUUAUGUCAUAGCCUAACCACUUGAAAUCGUUCUUAAUACUGUUGUUUGCUUGCCAUAGAAAUCUCUCAAUUCUAGCGUCUAUGUUUUUGUCAGAAACAGUCUUAUAUCAAAUAAUACUUGCAAGAUACAUAUUUAUCUAAUGCUAUGACAGAAAAAGCUUUGGUAUCUAAUUCAUAUAUCAAAUAUAUCUAUUCACUUAGUUUUCAAACUAGUUUUGAACCUUGAAAAUACUAGCGUUGUAUAGUUUUGCAUCAAUUUAAAACAAGCUAUGGUAUCUCAGUUUUGAGUUUUAUAACAAUAUAUGCUAUGAGUUUUGUUUCUUCAUUUAAACACAUGUAAAGAACAUGGGAUUAUUUAGUUCAAAUGCCAUGAGUGGUAGCAGUCCUUGACAUUUGGCAGUCAGCCCCUGGCCUCCUGAAAUUUUAAUGUAGUAGGAUUUUUUGUUAGACAUCUGCUGCAUUGACUAUCAGAUUUCUGGAGAAUUGAUUAUGUUCUGGAAAGGAAAAAGUACACCGAAGGUCCCUCAACUUGUCAUCGGGAUACAAAAACGUCCUCGAACCGUAAAACCAGAUAUGCGGGGUCCCUUAACUAUACAAAACCGCUCACCCGAGGCCGACCGACGGGUAGGGAGCAGAUGACCGGGCGGCAAGCGGGGCUAAGCGGCGCCGGCGGAGGCGGCGUGCGAGCGCGCGGCGGCCGGCGAAGCGGAGUGGAGCGGAGGCACAGAGCAGCGGUGGCAGCAAGCGGGCGAGCGCGCGUGAUGUGACCAUGCCUACUACAGAUAGAACCAUUGCUCACAUCAUACAUCAAAUGGAAGUCAUCAAGAUCCCACACAACUUCGGAAAUCCAAUUCGGCCACCUGCAAUAGAGCUGGCUUCAAACGGGCGCCAAAUUUGCAUAUGAGCUCCAUUUCAAUCAUAUGAGUACUCGUUGGAAAGAUCUUGUUGUCUACUUUCAGAUAUGUCCAGCCUCACCUUAAGAUCCGAACCGAGCUGCUCAGAAUGACCAAAAUAGUUUUCGCAUCUGAAACUCGGGCUUGGGCGUUUGUAUCUUUACAGCCCAUUAGGGGUCCACAAAACCUAGGGUUUGCUCCCACCUCCUCUCCUGGUCAUUCCUCCACCUAUAUAAACUCCUAGCAACCCCCAUUUUGCAGUUUGGGUUUUUGUUUAGAUGUAAGUUUAGCUGCAG